UGUCGUUUGUGGCAAACACUUCAGAGAGGAGGAGAAAAGAAAAACAAUCUGUAAAACACUCUUGACACCAGCCAGUCCAGGAAACGUUCAGCAGAAGUCCUCACAGAUGGGCAAAACAUACCAAUGGGCACAGAUGAAGCAGCAGAUGAUGUUGACCAGGUUGAUCAGCUUGAUGAACU